rnacentral:rRNA from 1 species
GUAGUUGAAUUUUAGCCCUGGCUGGGUGGUCCACCUUUGGCUGGUACUGCCCUGGCCGGGGCUCACCUUCUGGCGAUCCGCCAUGUCCUUCGCUGGAUGUGACGGGGAACCAGGACUUUUACUUUGAAAAAAUUAGAGUGUUCAAAGCAGGCAUUUGCUUGAAUAGAUUAGCAUGGAAUAAUGGAAUAGGACCUUGGUUCUAUUUUGUUGGUUUCUAGGACCUCGGUAAUGAUUAAUAGGGAUAGUUGGGGGCAUUAGUAUUUAGUAGCUAGAGGUGAAAUUCUUGGAUUUACAAAAGACUAACUUCUGCGAAAGCAUUUGCCAAGGAUGUUUUCAUUAAUCAAGAACGAAAGUUAGGGGAUCGAAGACGAUCGGAUACCGUCGUAGUCUUAACCAUAAACUAUGCCGACUAGGGAUCGGACGAUGUUACUUUACUGACUCGUUCGGCACCUUAUGAGAAAUCAAAGUUUUUGGGUUCCGGGGGGAGUAUGGUCGCAAGGCUGAAACUUAAAGGAAUUGACGGAAGGGCACCACCAGGAGUGGAGCCUGCGGCUUAAUUUGACUCAACACGGGGAAACUCACCAGGUCCAGACAUAGUAAGGAUUGACAGAUUGAGAGCUCUUUCUUGAUUCUAUGGGUGGUGGUGCAUGGCCGUUCUUAGUUGGUGGAGUGAUUUGUCUGCUUAAUUGCGAUAACGAACGAGACCUUAACCUGCUAAAUAGUUAUGCCGACUCCUGUCGGCAGACAACUUCUUAGAGGGACUGUCAACGAUUAGUUGACGGAAGUUUGAGGCAAUAACAGGUCUGUGAUGCCCUUAGAUGUCCUGGGCCGCACGCGCGCUACACUGAUGAAGUCAACGAGUCUAUAACCUGGCCGGAAGGU